rnacentral:piRNA from 1 species
UGAGAGAUCCCAUCACCUGUGUUCAAAUGC